UCCUUUCAUGUUGCCUUAUUGUCAUUUUAUCUUCUGGUUUCUCUAUAUCUUCAUCUCUUGUUCACUCCGUCUCUCACUUUUCUCUAAACCAAUCUUUUUAGUUUUCUAUUCUUUUUCUUCUUCAAUGGCUAAAACCCUAAAUAUUCCUCUUCAGCCCCUAGAAAGAGCUCUCGUUUCAAGGUAAAGCCUCUUCUAUUGUUCCUAUUGACUCUGAAUAUUUUGAGUAAAAUUUUCUUUCAGCCUCUAUUGGUUCUUAUGGUUCUAUACCAGGUACACGAUCUGAUGUUGUCGCUGUUUCUGAUUUCCCUAAGAAGAAGAUGAAAUUUUAUUUUGAUAGUUCUUUCAAUGACAUAUGAUUUUGGUGACCUUCUAAUGAAUCCUUGUUCUAUUCUCUAAAAUAACUUCCACUUGAAUGUGGAAGACUUGUUGAUUCAGAUUUACUUGAAUCAAUGCAUUGCCUGACUAAGCCUUUAUUUGAAGCGCAAGGAUGGACAAAUACCUUUACUUUACUCCUAAGGGUUGCUUAUGCACCCCUUAUUCGAUUGUUCUAUGAUAAUCUUUGGUUUUUCUGUGUUGGAAACUCUUAUCAUGAGUACACAUAUUUUCUUAAUUUAUGCUAUGUUUUACUCCUCUAAGUGUCCUUGGCCUUCAGAUUUUGAUGUCCUUUUUAAUCAGAAAAAUGAUUCAUUAUUGUGGAAUCUUAUGAUAACUUGCCUGUGCUCUUGGGCCUAAAAAUCUAUCAUUUGAGACCCCCAGUUGUUGCUCAUAUUAUGGCUACCACCCUCCUCCUUCGUGGAAGUUCUUUCUCUACUCUCUUUUAACGUUAAACUUUGUUAACCUGCUAUCUCUUAUCACGGCGGAAGAUCAAACUUUCCUUCUUUGAUAUUAACUACUCCCUCCGUUUGAAAAAUGAAUGACCUACUUUUCUUUUUAGUUCAUUUAAAAAGAAAUGAUUGCUUUCUCUUUUUUGACAGUACUUUAAUUUCAACUUUCCAUAUAGCAUGUUUAGGACCACAAGAUUAAAUGACAUUUUGGUACAUUUAACACAACUAUAAUUUAAGGCCACAUUCUUUAUUUUCUUAAAUUUUGUGUCAAGUCAAAAUAGGUUAUUCUUGAGGUAGUGUAUGAUUGAAGCUUUUUUGAAUUCUUCUCAUCUCCUAUAUGGUUUAGUUAUCACUCGUAUACUUGAAGCCUACCAUAUCCCUCUGGAAGAUGUUUACUCCGUUCUUGUCAAGCAGUGGUACAACUCUACAACUUUUAAAAGCAUAAUAUGUUUUGACUGAUAGGGUUUGUGCUCUCAAGACUGAAAGUUGUGGUCCUAGCACUCUCUCUUCUCCUAAGUCAAGAAACUUCUCUUCUCUUAAUCUUAAUUCAUUUUCUGUUCCCUGAGAUGUUUCUGAUCGUUUGAAUAACAUUGAUGCAAGACUAAAUGGUCUCACAGAUCUUGUUCUUGGCACUCAUUUUCAGAUGGAGAAAAUUUGGGAGUCUCAAAGAAAACUAGUGCUGACGUUGGUUUCAUGCAUAUCAAAUUGAAUCAAGUAAUUCAUGAGGCCAUUAAACUUGCUACUAAGAUUCGCCCUAGUACUGAUGCUAUCUCCACUGUGAUUACUACUCAGUUCACAAACCUGAAGGAUGCCACAAUAAAAAACUAGGCUUAUUUUCUUUGUCUCGGAGAAUGCUAAAUCCCCUCUACAUGUUUCUUAUUCCCGACCCUUGUGUUGCUCGUUUAAGAUAACUUUUUUGGUUUUGGUCCUGUAAUUAAGCAUAAGCUCACUGUUGCUACGUUACUUGCAUGUUUUGCUAGUUGUUCUCUAUUUAUUUUGCAUACUCUGUUAUUCUUCCUUUCUGAUAGAUGUCAAAGGAGAAAAAAUAGAAAACUUAUUUACAGGUAUAAACACAAGUCGAAUAGUUCGGCUAUCUAGGGGGGACUACUCAGGGGGGAGUUAAAAUGGGGGAAGUGGCUACACCUUAAGUUAUAAUCCUCAAAAAGGGGAGAUUGUUUAUGUUUGAUUUUGAUGUUUGACAACCUUGCAGGAACUCUCUAGCAUCAAUCAAGGAUCCAUUUUGGAAAUCAAAUAUUCCAUGUAUCAAAAAGGAAGAAUUGCAAUAUUCUUCCUUGAAGAAAAAGAUUCAGUCAAUCAGUAAAAGAGUAAAAGAAGGCUGGGUGUGAAAAAGGAAAAAGAUUUCAAGAUCCUUUCUUUUAGGAAGCAAAUCGCGGAUCAAUGGACCAUUAUUAUGAUCCAAUCUUAUUCUUGAAAAGAGGAUAUUUCACAUCCAAUUUCCAAUGAUCAAAUCUCUUGGGUUGUUUUGGUUAAAAAUUCUUCAAAUGGCUAUUACUAAGUUCGCCUAUUUAAAGGCUUGAAAGAUUAUGGAAGAGAUAUACUAUUGUCUCAAUCUUCUCUAGCUCUUUACUCUAGAAAAACAUAGUUAGUGAGUCAAUUGUGUCAAAGUGAGCAAAAUAAAAUGAGUGUGAAUAUAAGCCAAAAAACUUUGCUUAUAUCUUCUAUUUAUUUUAUUCACCAAAUGAAGAGCUAGUAUAAUCCCAUGCAAUCCAAAGAGACUGAGUAAGACCUAUAUAGGCUCCCAAUAUCUGAUGUCAUAUUUAUUUUAAGUAAUUUUCUUUACAAUAUUUAAAUAGUCUUUAUAACGUUGUUUUGUAAAUCGACUGGUAUAGCAAGCCAACUGACAAAUCGAAAAAUGGUAAUUCACC
rnacentral:lncRNA from 1 species